rnacentral:rRNA from 1 species
AUUGAACGCUGGCGGCAGGCCUAACACAUGCAAGUCGAACGGUAACAGGAAGCAGCUUGCUGCUUUGCUGACGAGUGGCGGGCGGGUGAGUCAUGUCUGGGAAACUGCCCGAUGGAGGGGGAUAACUACUGGAAACGGUAGCUAAUACCGCAUAACGUCGCAAGCCCAAAGAGGGGGACCUUAGGGCCUCUUGCCAUCGGAUGUGCCCAGAUGGGAUUAGCUAGUAGGUGGGGUAACGGCUCACCUAGGCGACGAUCCCUAGCUGGUCUGAGAGGAUGACCAGCCACACUGGAACUGAGACACGGUCCAGACUCCUACGGGAGGCAGCAGUGGGGAAUAUUGCACAAUGGGCGCAAGCCUGAUGCAGCCAUGCCGCGUGUAUGAAGAAGGCCUUCGGGUUGUAAAGUACUUUCAGCGGGGAGGAAGGGAGUAAAGUUAAUACCUUUGCUCAUUGACGUUACCCGCAGAAGAAGCACCGGCUAACUCCGUG